UACCAGAUGUCAAUGACAAGCCUGAUGGUGUU
rnacentral:piRNA from 1 species